UACGGGGGGGGGCAAGCGUUGUUCGGAAUUACUGGGCGUAAAGGGCGCGUAGGCGGCCAUGCGUGUCUUCCGUGAAAUCCCUCGGCUUAACUGAGGACGUGCAGAAGAAACUGCAAGGCUCGAGUCCGGGAGAGGGGGGUGGAAUUCCCAGUGUAGCGGUGAAAUGCGUAGAUAUUGGGAGGAACACCGGUGGCGAAGGCGGCCCCCUGGACCGGUACUGACGCUGAGGCGCGAAAGCGUGGGUAGCAAACGGG
rnacentral:rRNA from 1 species